rnacentral:rRNA from 1 species
UACGUAGGGGGCUAGCGUUGUCCGGAUUUAUUGGGCGUAAAGGGCGCGUAGGCGGCCAUCUAAGUCAGACGUGAAAUCCCUCGGCUCAACCGAGGAACUGCGUCUGAUACUGGAAGGCUUGAAUCCGGGAGAGGGAUGUGGAAUUCCAGGUGUAGCGGUGAAAUGCGUAGAUAUCUGGAGGAACACCGGUGGCGAAGGCGGCAUCCUGGACCGGUAUUGACGCUGAGGCGCGAAAGCUAGGGGAGCAAACGGG